UACGGAGGAUCCGAGCGUUAUCCGGAUUUAUUGGGUUUAAAGGGAGCGUAGGCGGCCUGUUAAGUCAGGGGUGAAAGCCGGUGGCUCAACCAUCGCAGUGCCUUUGAUACUGACAGGCUUGAAUGUAGUUGAGGUGGGCGGAAUGUGACAAGUAGCGGUGAAAUGCAUAGAUAUGUCACAGAACACCAAUUGCGAAGGCAGCUUACUAAGGUGUCAAUGACGCUGAGGCACGAAAGCGUGGGGAUCAAACAGG
rnacentral:rRNA from 1 species